UACGUAGGGACCAAGCGUUGUUCGGAUUUACUGGGCGUAAAGGGCGCGUAGGCGGCGCAAUAAGUCACUUGUGAAAUCUCCGGGCUUAACUCGGAGCGGCCAAGUGAUACUGUUGUGCUAGAGUGCAGAAAGGGCAAUCGGAAUUCUCGGUGUAGCGGUGAAAUGCGUAGAUAUCGAGAGGAACACCUGAGGCGAAGGCGGGUUGCUAGGCUGACACUGACGCUCAUGCACGAAAGCGUGGGGAGCAAACAGG
rnacentral:rRNA from 1 species